rnacentral:rRNA from 1 species
UCCAGACUCCUACGGGAGGCAGCAGUGGGGAAUAUUGCACAAUGGGGGAAACCCUGAUGCAGCGACGCCGCGUGAGCGAAGAAGUACCUCGGUAUGUAAAGCUCUAUCAGCAGGGAAGAAAGUGACAGUACCUGACUAAGAAGCCCCGGCUAGCUACGUGCCAGCAGCCGCGGUAAUACGUAGGGGGCAAGCGUUAUCCGGAUUCACUGGGCGUAAAGGGAGCGCAGGCGGCACGGCAAGUCCGGAGUGAAAGCCCGGGGCUCAACCCUGGGACUGCUCUGGAAACUGUAAAGCUGGAGUGCGGGAGGGGCAGGCGGAAUUCCUGGUGUAGCGGUGAAAUGCGUAGAUAUCAGGAGGAACACCGGCGGCGAAGGCGGCCUGCUGGACCGUAACUGACGUUGAGGCUCGAAAGCGUGGGGAGCAAACAGGAUUAGAUACCCUUGUAUC